CUAAACCUUGUUAGAAUAAAAGUUUAAAUGACAAUAAAUAAAUGACUGAAUAAAUAAAUAAAAGUUGUUCAAUGACAGUUGUUCAACUUGGUUUAAAUGAGCGGGGUUGACUUCAAUGUCCAUAGACGAUCUUUGAGAUGCCAUAUUAGUCACGUGACACGUAUGUUUACAUCCGGGCCCCCGGGGUUGAAGUUCCGCAGCUGCGCAGUGUGAGUCAGCUGACAGCAGCAGCCGUAGCGGAUGUGAACGUCUCAACCAUCAUCCAAACACCAGACUCUCUGCUCUGUCUCCGCUGACCGUUACCAGGCGCGGAGAACCGGACAGCCGUCCCCCACUGUGCGGCCACGUCUUCCCUCCCGCAGGAUGAGUGUCGGUGCUCCGAGAGGCCUGGCCAGCUCGGGGCAGAAGCCCAUCUCGGAGAUCCUCCACCCGCUGUGCGCCGCGGAGGAGCCGCUCUCCCCGGGGCCAGAUGUCACAGUGAACGUCGAUGGGGACAAGGAAGCGGUGUUGACCAACGGGACGCCCGUGGAGACGUCCAGCCCCGCCUCGGCGUCCUCGCUCUUCAACCGGCUGCAGCUGGACGACGACCUGGAGGUGGACGGCCGCGACCCGUACAUCUCCACGGAGACUCAGGACCUGUUUGUCACCGUGGACGACCCCAAGAAGCACGUGUCCACCAUGGAGACCUACAUCACCUACAGAGUGUCCACCAAGACGACACGGAUAGAAUUCGACCUUCCUGAAUACUGCGUGAGACGACGCUACCAGGACUUUGACUGGCUGAGGAUCAAGUUAGAAGACAGUCAGCCCACUCACCUCAUCCCUCCGCUGCCAGAGAAGUUUGUGAUGAAGGGCGUCGUCGACCGCUUCUCAGAGGAGUUCGUGGAGACAAGGAUGAAAGCGCUGGACAAGUUCCUGAAGCGAGUCGCCGACCAUCCUGUCCUCUCCUUCAACCCACACCUGAACACUUUCCUCUCUGCCAAGGACCUGAACAAGCGUCAGGGUCUGGCUCUGCUGACCAAAGUGGGCGAGUCGGUGAAGCACGUGGCCGGAGGCUACAAGCUGCGAGCGCGGCCGGCGGAGUUCUGCGCCAUGGGCGAGUACCUGGACACGUUCACGCAGAAACUGGGGACCAUUGACCGCAUCGCUCAGAGGAUCCUCAAGGAGCAGUCAGAAUACCUGACGGAGCAGCGCGAGUACGGCUCCGUGUACUCCAGCUGGGCGGGCUCGGAGGAGGAGCUGCAUCGCCCCCUGGAGGGCGUGGCCACCACCGUGUCAGAGUGCUGCUGUGCCAUGGACGACCUGAGCGAGAACAUGAGCCAGGACUUUCUGCCCGUGCUCCGAGAGUACGUCCUCUACGUGGAGUCCAUGAAGACUGUUUUGAGGAAGCGGGACCAGAGCCAGGCCGAGUACGAGGGACGGCUCGAGGCGGCCAUACUGCGCAGACAGGAGGACAAAAUGCCUCUGUAGUUGUCUCUGUGUCGCUGUAGAUGCCCGUGGAGGUGGAGAAAUGCCAGGACAAGGUGGAGUGUUUCAACGCCGACCUGAAGGCCGACUGGGAACGCUGGCAGAGCAACAAGCGGCAAGACUUCAAGCAGCUCCUCACCGGCAUGGCCGACAAAAACAUCAACUACUACGAGAAGUGUCAGGCGGCGUGGGAGUCGCUCAUCACUCUGCUCCAGGACAAACAGACUGAAGACAAACGGAGUGAGACGAACUGAGACACCGACUUUUCUCUCUCUCUCUCCCCCUCACUCUCUUUAUCACACACACACACACACUCAAUGUCACGCCAAGGAAAAGGAACAGCCGCUCCUGUUCUCUGCUGAGACGAUUGUACAGCGGGUGACGUCGUCCUGACCUGCAACAGAGGUAACAAACGGUGCGUUCAAGGACAGCAGGGAAACGAGACAUCUCUGCUCAAUGUACAUUAACUUUUUCUACUUCUUAUUUUCCUCAUUGUCGGUUGCCAAUGUUCUUUUUUUUGUGUGUUUAUUUAACCGCGGUUUGUUUUUUUCCGCCCAUUUUCACAUUGAGCCAAAUGUGAGGGAUGAGGGAACAGUUAAGCUUUUAUUUUGAAGGCCGACUCUGAACUGUUCUUAUGAGAGGAUGUGAAGUUCCUUUAAGGUUGUGAAAGUGACACUAAAAACUCCACCGAUAUCGGAAUUCUUCUGAAAUGUGUCUCAUUUGCUAUAAAUAAGGAAGCUAAUGUUUUAUACUUCACAACCACACCUGUUAAUCUUGCAUGUUUUGUUACGGUGGAUCAUUUUUCUACUGCUGUUUUUUGCCACUGUUGUUAAAAUGUACAAAAAAAGAAGUUUUUGUGGCAGUAGCGGUUCACGUAGGAAACGGUGACAUCUAGUGGUGAGACUGCAGAAAUCUGCCCCCCUUUCCCUGGAGCUCCAGGGAACUACGGUGGCCUUCAGUGGCCAGAAAGGACAUCAUUAUUCAAUGGCUCAAUCUACAGCUACUUAAACCAAAUGUUCUCUUUAACGUCAUUAUUCUCUCACUGGAUCUUUUUAAGGAUUAUUUCUUUGGAGGCAUCUUGACGGCAUUGAUGGCAUCUUUGACAAUGAUGGCGCUGUGGUGUGUGAGUGCCGGAGUCGAAUACCUCAAGUCUCCUUGUUCACUUUGAUUUAGUGUGUCCUUGUGCGCCUGUGUUUUAUUUUGUGCACAGUGCAAUAGCACCACUUGGUGGUCAAACUCGGUACAGUGUCCGUUACUGACACGGACACAUUUAAUUCUCUUUGAGUUUAUCCAUUUUUUUUUGAUUCAUAGGCCAUUUUCCUGCCGUAGUGGCCCUCGUCUAACAUCUCCACAUCCCAUUGUUAUGAUUUUUGUCUCUUUGAGGUCAUAAUUUAAACAAUUCUCUCUGCACACUUGGGUCUAGUCUUAAUCCCUGUUGGAAUUGUUGAUGCAAAAAGAGUUUUGUGGUCCAAAGUCUUACAUUUAAAGGCCCUGUGUGUUGGAUUUCCCAAAAUCCAUCGGUGUAAUUGAAAAAAAUGUGCUUUUAUUAUUUGAUAAUCACUAAAAAUCGGGAAUAUUUGUGUUUUAAAACCCUUCAUUCUCUGAUUUAUCUGCAUAUAUUGGAAGCCUCUCCGUCAGAGUCUGCCACGUUGCUACACGAGCCCCGGAAUCUAAUCUGCAGUGUCAGCACUAGAUGUGACUCAAUCCCGGACGUGGGGGGAAUAUUUAAAGAAAAAACAAUGCCACUUGAUUUCACACAUGGACUUAAAUGAGUCACAGAUGUCGACGUCGUCUCGUCUGUGACACGUUUGUUGCCGGGCUUGACUCUUAUGCUCAUGUGGUUUGGCCUUAAUCUGAGAUAAUCUGACAUCAGUGACUGGGUGACUUUUCCCUGAGAUUGUUGUUGACCAUAGAGACUGUAAGUGAGAGUUUGAGCAUGAAUGACUCCUAUAUGUCAACAAUUGAAUCCUAUAUCACGUAUUUUUGACUGGUGAUUCUCGAGCAGGUGAUAAUUUACUUUCCUAUCACCAUGUUGUGACCUUAAAAAACGGCGGAAAUGUUCAUCUUUUACAUCCCACGAUCAUAAUUCCUGUUUGAAAAUAUCUCCAUAGCAGACGUGCAGACAUCAGGGGCAGCAACAUUGGGAAUAUGUCAGCUUUUUUUGGUAGUUUUUUUGCUACUCGGAGCUUAUUUAAAACAUGUUGCUUUCCUGAGCCAGGUUUUACUCGUCGAUUCUCCUCCGUGUGUCCGUCGUUCAGCUGUAAAGACACAAAUGUUUUGUAUUUAAUUGCAGAGUGCAGAGAAAGCAGCAAGUUGAAUGGAGCCUGAUGCUAAAAAAACAGGCUGAAUGACUGUGUUUAGAGUCAGUUUUUCUGCACUGGCUGGUUGUUUUUCUCAUAUAUUGUGGAGAAUUACAUGCCUUGAAAUAACCAUUUUGCUAAUUUUCCACUCUUUGCAUCCUUUUAUAUCCUUUAAACAUCAUAUACAUGUCAAAAGUAGAUUGGUUUUACACAGUUGUCAACAGCUCAGAUCAGGAAAAGCCCUGGAAUUAAACAAGAUUAAACGGGUGCUGUAGAACUUUUGGCCACUAGUUGUGCUCUAGAGCACUUCAAUCGAUAUGAUCGGUACUUUUUUGUCAUUUUGUUUACAGCUGAGGAAAUAAAACGUCCGUAAAGAAGCGGCAUCAGUGCGUCUGUAGACCUUCUUGCUCUCUGGUGUAAAUGAAGUAGCUGAUCUCUUUUUUUUUUUCCUUUUGUUUUGCUCUAAUGACAAUAUUCUGUAUAUUCAGUUUACCCCAAUGUACAGCUGAGUUAUAAAAUACAGCGUAGUCUAUUUUUGUAUGAAAAAAAGGGAUGUUGUUGUUCCGAUGAGAAUGUGAAUAUUAUCAUUUUAGAUUCUUUUGUAAAUCUGGCAAAAACAGAAACGGUUAAAUUUUCUUUAUUCUUGAUGCUCUUGUGUUUUUCCCCUCUCAACUCAUAGCUAUUGUAAAAGCCCUGUAUUAUAUCUAUAUAUAUAUAUACAUAUAUAUAUAUGUAUACAUACUGUGUGCCUGCUGAUUAUUGUUUGCACUAUAUAUAUUUAUAUAUAUACUGUAUAUGUAUGUAUGUAGCUCCACCUCCUGGCAGAAAUGUCUGCUCAAAAUAAGAGAUCAGUUUGUUAACCUGCCAAAAACCUGUCUUUCAGCGAUUCAGUUCAGAUCAGCUAAAAUGGCCGCCACUGUAUACAUCUAUAAAAUGGCCACCCCUGUACACGCCUAUAAAAUGAAUGACUAAGAUGGCCGCACUGUAAAAAAAAAAGCUGUGGAGAGGAGAAACAUUGACAUUUCCUUUUUUUUCUAAAUGUACAAAUCGAAGGUUUUUGAGCCAAAUGUCCCGUUCUUUUUUUUUCCCUCCCGUCUUCCUCGCGCACUCUUUUCUCGCACAUGAAGCACAGGAAAAACGCGAACAAUCAAACCUGUGGGAACUUAUAGUUUUAACUCGUACGACUCAUGAACGUGUGAAAUCCAGUCUUUUGGUCUUUCUUAACUUUCUGUUGUUCUGUUUACGUUCAGAGUUCCUAAUAAUGUACAUUUGGAUGUGAAUAACACCUUGUUGUAAUUAUGAAUACGCUUGUAUAUUGAUGUUGUUUUUGAUGCAAUUUAUCUUUACCUCAAAUGAAUUUCUUUUUGGAUAUAUUGGACCAAUAAUAAAAAAUGAGUUAAUUUGA